rnacentral:rRNA from 1 species
UACGUAGGUGGCAAGCGUUGUCCGGAUUUAUUGGGCGUAAAGGGCGCGCAGGCGGUUCGUUUAGUCCGAGGUGAAAUCUCCCGGCUCAACUGGGAGGGGUCUUUGGAUACUGGCGGACUUGAGGUGAGCAGAGGUGAGCGGAAUUCCUGGUGUAGCGGUGAAAUGCGCAGAUAUCAGGAGGAACACCGGUGGCGAAGGCGGGUCUCUGGGCCGAUACUGACGCUGAGGAGCGAAAGCGUGGGGAGCGAACAGG